rfam:Ovis aries breed Texel chromosome 12, whole genome shotgun sequence.
UCCCCAGUGGCUCAGAAGGUAAAGCGUCUGCCUAUGAUGCGGGAGACCUGGGUUCAAUCCCUGGGUUGGGAA